GGAGAGAUGUCAGAGUGGCCGAAUGAGCUCGCUUGGAAAGCGUGUGUACGGAAACGUACCGAGGGUUCGAAUCCCUCUCUCUCCGCCA
rnacentral:tRNA from 1 species